rnacentral:rRNA from 1 species
AGAGUUUGAUCCUGGCUCAGAACGAACGCUGGCGGCAUGCCUAACACAUGCAAGUCGAGCGGAUGAGAAGAGCUUGCUCUUCGAUUCAGCGGCGGACGGGUGAGUAAUGCCUAGGAAUCUGCCUGGUAGUGGGGGAUAACGUCCGGAAACGGGCGCUAAUACCGCAUACGUCCUACGGGAGAAAGCAGGGGACCUUCGGGCCUUGCGCUAUCAGAUGAGCCUAGGUCGGAUUAGCUAGUUGGCGGGGUAAAGGCCCACCAAGGCGACGAUCCGUAACUGGUCUGAGAGGAUGAUCAGUCACACUGGAACUGAGACACGGUCCAGACUCCUACGGGAGGCAGCAGUGGGGAAUAUUGGACAAUGGGCGAAAGCCUGAUCCAGCCAUGCCGCGUGUGUGAAGAAGGUCUUCGGAUUGUAAAGCACUUUAAGUUGGGAGGAAGGGUUGUAACCUAAUACGUUGCAAUUUUGACGUUACCGACAGAAUAAGCACCGGCUAACUUCGUGCCAGCCGCCGCGGUAAUAC